CCUCCACGUUUAAUCUCGUCCUUAACGUCCUAAAACUAGGACAUUUCGGUUUUUUUCCACGGUUGAAUACAGAAUUAGGUGGGGGAUUCGACGGAGUCGUGUCGUUAACGCACUGUCUAUCAAUUUACGGCCAUUUGGAGCGUCACGGUGUAUGCUGAUGUGUCACACCGGAGGAAUCUAUCGGUAUUAUCGGUGGAUUCAGGUUAUCAUGUUGGUGUUCUGAUUGCUACCUGCUGGGAAUAAUUUGCUGAUACUGAGUGGGAAGAGCUGUGAGGAGGGAGGUGCUGCAAGAUAGAACUUUUACCUGAUAACGCUUUUCUGAUAUCAUCUCCAAGGCUCAUGUGAUUGAAGUCUUUUCUUUUACAGAGGAGCCACCAAGGCUUGCGGUUUCCUGUCAAGGAGAGGGGGUUGGAGCUCUCUUGGCCAAAUCCAGUACCAGCAUCUGAUCCAAAAUAUUCUGAAAUAUAGUUUUAACCCUGAACCUCACCAUCCCAACAUGGAGGGAGUUACAGAGUCUGAGACAGUAGAUGGAUCAUCUCCCUUUGAUCUCUUAGAACCCCCGACUUCUGGAGGAUUUCUGAAAUUGUCCAAACCCUGCUGCUACAUCUUUCCCGGAGGAAGAGGAGACUCUGCAUUGUUUGCCAUCAAUGGAUUUAACAUUUUAAUAGAUGGGGGAUCUGACAGAAAGUCUUGCUUCUGGAAACUGGUUCGCCACCUUGACAGGAUUGACUCUAUUCUGCUCACCCACAUUGGGGCAGACAACCUUCCUGGAAUUAAUGGCUUGUUCCAAAGAAAAAUUGCAGAGCAGGAAGAGGAACAAAACCAAGGAUCUGGUUCAAGUAGCAAUGGCGAGUCGACAAAGAACCUGAUUUCCCCUGAACUUGGGAUUGUAUUUUUGAACGUCCCAGACAAACUUCGGAUGCCACAGUCCACUCUAAAAGUGAAACGGAGCAUUGAGGAAGCAUCUCUAACGCUGCAGUACCUCAAUAAGCUUGGAAUAUCACCAGAGCCUCUUUACAGGGCAGUGAGCAACACUAUUGAACCCAUCACACUCUUUCACAAACUUGGUGUUGGAAAGUUAGACAUGUAUGUGCUAAACCCUGUAAAAGAGAGCAAAGAGAUGCAGUUUCUAAUGCAAAAAUGGGUUGGUAACAGCAAAGCCAAGACAGGGAUUCUAAUGUCUAAUGGAAAGGAAGGAGAAAUAUCUGUUCCCUAUUUAACAUCAGUUACUGCUCUUAUUGUUUGGAUUCCUCAUCGUCCCACAGAAAGAAUAGUUAGGGUGCUCUUCCCAGGGAAUGCACCACAGAAUAAAAUCUUUGAGGGCCUUGAGAAACUGAAACACCUAGACUUCCUGCGAUACCCAGUGGCAACUCAAAAAGACCUAACAUCCGGUGCACCACUGCCAAUCAUCAAACAGACCAAAAUUAGAUCAAGAGCUGACAGCAAAGAGAGUCUGAAAUUAUCACCAAAACCAAACUCCAAAACAGCCAAGAAAGAAAUAGUUGGCCAAGAGGAAGAGCCUAAGAGUGAGAAGACCAAAGAGAAUAAACUGGAGAAAAAAAUCAAAAGUGAAAGUCUGAAGGCCUCCAAACAGCAGAAAAAUAGCGAGGUGGCCCCCAUAACAGGCAAGUUAGAGAAGAAGAAAAUAUUAAAGGAGAAAAGCAGCAAAACUGACAAAGUGUCUCGUAUGGAUGAAAAGAAAGACAAGGAAAAGAAAGAAAUUAAGAGAGAAAAAGCAAAAAAAGAUGAAAAUAUAACAAAAGAAGAGAAGAAAGACAACAAAAAGAAGGACCCAAGUAAGCCAGAAUUGAGAAAAAUUACUAAACCUGACUUGAAGCCACUCACCCCUGAAGUGAGAAAAACUCUGAGAAAGACUCAGGCAAAGGCCAAGACUGAAAAAAAUGUAACAGUUAAAGAGGAUGUAAAUGGUAAAAAGCCACUCGCCAAGCACCUCCAGGAAGAAGCUGCAGCAGCAGCUCAUGCUGAAAGAUCCACUGCGUCUUCCCCCGAGGACCUUACUGAGGACUUUGAGGCCCUUAAAAGAGAAGAGUUGUCCAAACCCAAGGCAGAAGCUACCCAAAUCUCUGAGGUGUCAGUUCACAAGCAUACUAAAGUUUCUACCUCAUUUCCCCUAAAUGAGAACAUUACGCCAGCUACUGAGACAAAGACAGUCCCGUCCACAUUUUCUGCCAAACCAGAGGAAGACAACACCACAGACAAAAUAACCUCAGAACAGAUAAAAGGAUAUGAUUCAUGCAGUGAUAAACUUGAAGACAGCACAAUAACUUUGAAGACAUUUGAGGAUUAUGACACAUAUUCUGCAAAGGAUGAUCUAAAAUUCAUAUCAAAGAAGAGUGACAGCUCAGAAGAGGAAGAUGAUGUAAUUGAAAAAGCAGAUCUUGAAGGAACAGAAGAUGACGAGGUUAUUAAGUGUAAAACACAGGAGAUGAAAAAAGAAAAAACUGGAAAACAUUUUGAUACUCAACCAGCCGGACAAUUUACAAUGUCAGCUCCAGCUCUGCCUGGGCAAGGAGUAUCGGCAUCAGCCUCAGAACAGUUCUCCUUAAUCCAAGAUGAAACCAUCCCUGGUUACUCUGAGACCGAGCAAACUAUCUCUGAUGAGGAGAUCCAUGAGGAUACUGAAGAGAAAAUCCCACAGUUACGAUAUAAUGUGGGAUCUUAUGACAUCUCAGUCCCAGAUUUCCCUGGGACCUUUGACUCAAUGCAGGGCAUGAAGGAAAUAAAGAGCUUGGUUGUGGCAGAUGUUGUGGAUGUCAGACCCAAAGCCCUCGUGGGAGUUCAGGAGCCUGAGCUUGCUUCCUACCCUGUUAUAAUUGCUGCUCCUCUUGCAGAGGAGGAACACAUCUCCUCAGCCACAUCCAUAACAGAAUAUGACAAAAUGUCUUCAUUUGCCACAUCUGUAGCCGAGGACCAGUCAAUAGCUUCUGUUACAGCCCCUCAGACUGAGGAAGUUGGAAAGAACUCCCUCCUCCUUGACACCAUCAACAAUGUACCCUCACCUGGUACCCAAGGAAAGGACUAUCUCCACUCUGCUGGUACCAUUUCACCCACCUCCUCUCUGGAGGACGACAAAUGUUUUAAGUCUCCUUCCUCUGAUGAGUACCAGCCCAACAUUCCUGAGAUUGAGAAUGAUGCCAAGGCCCAUUCAGCUCAUGAUGAAGAAGAUGACGAGGAAGACGAGGAUGAGGAUCAGACUCCAAAUGUUGACAUCCCACUGGGUAAACUCAGACAAGGCUAUGAGCAUGCUGCAUCCAUGAUGCUCAAGGAGAACGAGAAAUCUCCCUCAGCCGCCAUAUCUUCUCCUAUUUUCUCGGAAGAGCACAAACCUCCUACACAGGUUGCAGGUGAAAGUCAGUCUCAAUUUAGUACUGGGGAAUUCAAGAUUGGUGCUGGAAUACAACCUCUAUCAACUUCUCCAUCCUUCUCCGCUGGACUGGAGUCACACUUUAGGCAAGAAAGUGAUGACAGAUGUCUAAGUCCAGAUGACAGCACCGUGAAACUGGCUUCACCCACACAGUCAGUGCCUACAAGCAGUGGUUACUCUCCUGCAGAGGAAAAAUCAUUUAAAACAGAAGGCAACAAUGAAGCAGUGACCAAAUGUGAUACGAAUAAAGUGGAAAAAUCGGUCACUAUUUCUGACAAUGCAUCUUUAACUGGACACUCAGUUGAGAAGGAUGCAUUUGAGGCAUCAGAGGAGUCUGAAGAGGACAGUGUGAAUGAAGACGACUAUUACACCAAAAAAGAUCUCCAACCCGCUGUUAAAGCUAAACUUAUGGAGGCAAAAGAGGGGUGCUUCCUGGAUGACGACUUAACUACUGAGGCAAAGACUGCAACGACGGACAUAGAGCUUCUCUGCUCAGAUGGGUCUCUGUCCCCUACUGCUGAAGAGAAACCAAAGCCUCAAAUCAUAUACUCAGAUGAGGAUGAAACAGAUAAUUUUCCAACUGGAAUAAAAUCAAGGUUCUCUUCAGCAGAGCUAACCAAAACAGACAUUAACAAAGAAAGUGCUGAGGAAACAGAUAUCCCUCUCACAGGGCAUGAGAAAAGUGUUCAUUUUGGUCUUUGUGAUUUCCCAGAAAAGGUGAACAAAGAGAAAGCCCUUUAUAUAAGACAAGACACACCUUAUGUCCAUGGCAAAACAUUCUCGUACGGUGACAUUUAUGAUAGCAAACCAAGUUCAGAGGAAUCAGAUUCAUAUUGUCACGAGUCCUUAGAUAAGGUGGAGACGGACAUUUCAAAGGAUGAUGUUGGUUUUUCUCCAUCCCCUCUAACGGCGAGGGGCGAAAUAUCAGAAAAGGAAGAAUGUAAAAUCUCAUACGGAAAAGAUCCUUGCACUCCAACUAGGUUUGAAUCCAAGAGCCAAUCAAUUGUUUCUCCAUUGGUCAAAGAUGGCAAAGAUUAUGAGACAUUUGAAUACUCUGGUCAAUUUUCCUCAGUGGCAGAUGGGCCUAAAGUAUUGUCUACUUCUCCAUCAUCAGACAAAGACCCAUUGUCUUUUGCUAGGCAACCAGACAGCCCAAAACCUGCACCAUAUUCCUCAAUGACAGCAUCCAAUGUCUCCCAAGCUAGUGGUUCUGAUAGUGGAUCAUGUCUGGAGAUUGAUAUGCGAAAACUGACAGCGAGGGAUGAGGAAGACUAUGAUGAUGAUGAAGUAAUUGAUGAAGAUGAUGAUGAGGACGGAGACGAAGAGGAUGAGAACAUUGAUGAUGAAAGAGCUAUUUGUUCUGACAUUGAAAAAGGUCCCAAAGAAAAGUCUGAGAAGGAGAUAAAAAGUCCUGUCAGUGAAAUAUGUGGCUUAAAUAAGCCAGAAUUUAUGGUUUCUAUGGCUGGAUAUGGUUUUAACAGUCAGGGGAAACCAAGUGAAAAAGAAAUCGCAUUCAGCUCACUCACAAAGGUAGUGGAUGAAGAUAAGACUGACUCCUCAUCCGUAAGUCAUAAGUCAAUUGAGUUAGCAGCUACAGGUUUCUCUGGCUACUCCACAGAGUUAGACUUAUAUGGGGGUGAGGAUAAGGAAUCACUUUUAUCAAGUCAAACUACAGACAAAGGUAAUGAAGAUUUCAACUUGAAGUCAUCAGAGGGUAGUUUUUACAGCGAUAGAGCUGAUCAGUACACAAGUACCGCUGCCCCCGGUUACUCUUCAUCCUCUGCAUAUAGCUACUCUUCCUCUACUUCAGGCUCAUUCUCUACCAGUCGUCAGCUUGCGGAUGAGCUGGAGACACCUGCCUCAGCUGAGCCACUAUUUGAAUACUCCUCUUUCAAAGAAGAACACUCCCCGAUCACUGAUUCUCUGUUUUCUACUUUACCUGGCACCAAAGAAAACUAUUUGGAAGUGUCUGAGAAAAAGGUCCCCGCUGUAACCACAGCUGAGGCUACCUUCAGCUUGUCUCACUUUUCACCCCUCAAUCCAUUUGAGGAUUCCAAACGCUUCUCUUCACAUUCAUCCACUGCUUCUGCUGAAGACAAAAAAGACCACCCAACCACUUUUGGUAGCGUUUUGGAUAAACGCCCUCAUUCAGACUGUUUCUACAAGCCUGAGUGGUCUGAAGCGUUUGCGCUAGACUCUGCAAAAGGCUUUGACCAAUCAUUAACCUUGAACGCUCAAGAGGCAGAACUCUCAAUUAAUAAAGAGGCAGCCAGCGCUGCACUGUUUGGUGUCACUUCUUCACCAAGGCCAGAUAUUGAAGGCAAGCACUACUUUGAAGAGACUGACAGCAGUGAAGAGGAUGAGGAUGUUUAUAUGAGGGGGAAGUCUAAAAUAUCACCCUCCAGUGGUGUGACAGGUACCUUGUUGUUCUCUGAGAAGCCAGAUGCUUCAUUUGGAGGUGAAAAGACUAGCAAUGUUCACCCAGAUGUUCUUGGUUCAUACAUGUCCUCACCACUUGAGGCCAGCAAGCCGGACCCAACCAAAGGCCUCGCAGAGGUCAGUACAAGCUCUACCCUCCUUGCUGGAGCAGCAGCCAAUGAUGCGAUUUCAGGCACAGCUAAAAUGGAGUCCAGAGAAAGUGCAGGAGGCUACAAGAGCUCCUACGAGUGGGAAAUGCCCAAGCCUCAGAUAGGAAGGAUGCCUGGAGACUCCCCUCCCCAUUAUCGUCAUGAUGAUGAGUUUGAGGAGGAGUGUGAAAUGGAGCCUGAGCAUCCUGCCCGCCCGCUUUCUCUCUCUUCAACUAAUAAGCCUUUCCACUCUCCCUUUUACUUUGAGGAGUGUAGCCAACAAGAACUGGAGGAGGAUGACGAUGAUGACAGUGAUCAGGAGCUUGCUGAUAAAGCAGCCAUAGGAGCAGCCUCCACCUCUGCUGGCAACACAUCUCCCGGAUAUUCAUCCUGUGAGUACAGGCAGCGUAAAACAGACCUCUCCCCUUCUUUUAUCAACCCGUGCAUGAAGCAGCUAUGUAGUGAUGAAGACGAUGAGGAUCAAGAACAAAGAAGUGACCAAGGACAAAGAAGUGACCAGUCACAGGAAGGCGAUGAACAUGAUAUGUCUGUUAAGAGAAGGGCUAAGCAGCCCCACCAUCAGCAAUCCCACAGCAGCUCUGUCCAUCAAGCCAGUGGCACGUCUGCAGGGUUAGGUCUAGCAACAGAGGACACACCACCUACUUCUAUUAGUGACUCUUUUGCCUCUCAGUCAGACUCUGAAGUGCAUCAAGGCACGGAAGAGUAUCCUUCUGUCACUGCCGAAGGCAACAUGGACUCAGAUGAGGAUGCAGACUAUAUGCCCGUUGACAAGAUAGCUGCCAUAGGUGAAGGCAUCCACCACUCUUCCUCCUGGAAAAGCCAGGACCCAGUUCCCACACCUCAAAAGGACGCUUACCCUCACCCCCCUCGACCAGAUGUUUGUAUGGUGGAUCCUGAUUCUUUGGAUAAUGGCUCAGUUAAGAAAGAGCUUAAAGCUAAAGGCUUGAAGAAAGCUUCGGGGAAAACCAAAGCAUCACCAUCCAGGCGCAAGAGGUCCCCCAUGCCUGUCAGACAGACAUCAUCUCCUCGCAGUGCGUCACUGAAGAAGAAAGAAGCAGACAAGAGCUCACGAAUGUCUCGGCUGUCAGACGGACAAGGCUCAAAGGACGAUGACCUCUCACGGUCAAGCUACAACCCUGGAAAGGGGCUGACCAACAUUAACAAGAAUAGUCCAGGUUCUCAAAAGGCUGGUUCUACAGCUCCCAUCUAUGUGGACAUGGCCUACAUUCCCAACCACUGCAACGCCAAGAAUGUGGAUAAAGAAUUUUUUAAACGCAUUCGCUCUGCGUAUUAUGUGGUCAGUGGUAAUGAUGCUGCCAGUGGUGAACCAAGCCGUGGAGUUCUUGAUGCACUGUUGGAUGGCAAAGCUCAAUGGGGGUCAAAUCUGCAGGUGACGCUGAUCCCAACUCAUGACACAGAAGUGACUCGUGAGUGGUACCAGCAGACACACGAACGGCAGCAGGAGCUCAACAUCAUGGUGCUGGCCUCAAGCAGCACUGUCGUCAUGCAGGAUGAAUCUUUUCCUGCCUGCAAAAUCGAGUUUUAAGAAUGUGGUAUUUUGCUGCCUCUCCCUACUGUAGAUCUGUUUAAACUACUCUCAAGCCCCUUAGAAUGUGGGUUCUUUUUGUCCCUUCUUAUUGAUAACAGUUGUUUUUUUUUAUCUAAAUUUGUAUGAACGUCUUAGUUUGUUGUAGCUACAACAUGUUUGUUCUCCACUCCAUUAGAGUCCCGCAAAAGACACAUCUUUGUCUUUAAACUUGUUUUUAAAGCCUGUGAGAAAAUUGAAUUCUACGAGACCAUUGUUUAGAUUAAGGCUGUGUCUCAAAUGGAAUACUUCUGUCAGUACACUUCAAUAAGUAAACUAUGUACUUAGUUCCUGAGUGCAUGCACUUUCCAAUCCCCAACUAUCAUUGCGUACUCACAGGAAAUGAUGGUUGGAAUAUUUACCAGCAACCCUCCACUGCCACGGGUUGCUACACAGCCAUUUCUCAAGUUAGUUGCCGCCCUUGUGCUAAACAGCCACUUUGGCGACUAUUGCAGCUGAAUACUGAAGGUGGAGGCGAAUACAUAGGCGGGAAAUAUGUACUCAAUUGUCACAUUUGUUCUUUUUAGUUACAAUUUUUACCUUUAUUAUAUCUCUCAUGCGUGGGGCAGAUUCUUCUGAUGGCAGAGUGUCAAAGAAAAGGAAAAUUAAGUGCAUUUAGACACAGUAAAAUGCUCAGAAAGGAGAGAUAUGUCUAUCAACAAUUGUUGCUACUUGGUCUAAGCUGCUCAAAAGCCGCUACCAUCAUCAAGGAUAGAGAUGGUAUCUUUUUAUUACUUUAUUGUCAUAUGUUCUGUGUACAGUUUGAGUAACUUAGGUGUUCAUUUAAGUCAUAGGAUGGGAACUUGCUCAUAGGCCGAGGACCUCCUGCACUGACAGUGCACUGCAUUUUGUCGCACUUCUCUCUGUGAAUGCACUCAAAAUAGUAAGUGUACUGUAAGUGCGCCAACUGAGACUCAGCCAAGCAAAAUAGGCAGUUUCUGCAAUAACAAAAAAAGGGUCAGAAAUUGCUCAACCCGUACCUGGCAAAGACCACAUUUGUGCACCUUAAGGCCAGAUGGAGUCAUUAUCCUCUUCAGUAUCUCUUUGUUUUGCAGUAAAACUAUAUGUAAGCUAGAAAAUGAUGCUAGUGAUCAGUUUCCUCUCCUCCAGUUAUUUCCUGCGUGCCUCAAACUGACAUAGUAACAUAGAAAGUAUUCAAGUAGAACCCACAAUGUCCUGUCAAUGUCUUUCAAAUAUAUCUAUAUAUAGCAUAGAGAAUAUCUUAUUCCAAGAUUUAUAAUGUUGUGCAAUAUUUCUAUGAUGAAAAUCACCUUGUUGCAGUUACAACUUCUGUGGAUUUGACCUUUCAUUGCUCAAUGUUAAACCUCCCCUUAACCCCUGCCGUGUGUGUCCAGUUGUUGCAGAGAACCUUCUCUGUCUUCAUAAAGAACAUGACUUUGUGCAUUUGAAGGAAGGAAAUGCUGCAUUUUUAGGAUCUUUAUUCAACGACAAAUGUGCGACAAGAGAAACAUGAAUUGCAAAAGGAGAGCGUGUGUCUGCGUGGGCCCGCGUGAUUAGCGGUCGAGGUGAGACCUUUAGUGCCUUUUUGUCCUGUUGGAAGAUGAUAUGAUUGGCAACGAAUAUCAAGGGUGUCCAAAGCUUUUUUUCUUUUCUUUUUUUUUUACCAAGGAGCUCUAUUGUACAGUUUGUGUAAAGAGCUUUUAAAGCCGCCAAAUUCUUAGUAGAGCGUGGUUGCAUUUGUGUUGCUAUGGUAACUGCUACACAAUUUCUGCAUCGAUAAAUACACAUGCUAUUACGGGCGAUUUACAUUCCUAAGAUUCAACUAUUUUGGUCCGUGCUCUGCAAGUUGACCUCCCGGAAGAUAGGUAUUGAUCCAACAUUGUUUCAAAAGGAAAUACUAUUUUUAUGGAUACUACAAAAAAGAAAACUUUAGAUUUAAUGAUACUUUGAUGAUACUGAUGUCUGUCUGCCUGACGCCAUCAGUAAUCAAAACAAAAAUGGCGGACACCGAUGAUGGCCGAGAAAAGUCACAACAAAUGCAAACGCCACAAGACAAUAUUAUAUAGCUGCAACACAUCUGUACGCCACAAAGGACGCGAUAGACACAACGGAAGUGACAGCGUAGUAAGUUUUGCCGACUGACCAAGCCAAGACAGAAGGUUAAAAACUGUAAUGAUCACAGUAUAUUAAUAUUAUUGAAAGAGUGAUUUAUGACUAAAAACGUGGUCACUCUUCACUUACUUUUCCAACUUUGUUCAUUACACCAUAGUCAACUUUCGGUGAGUCGCCGAAACUUGUCCGCUGUCCCUUAUGUUGAGUCUUUAUAUGGUCAUGUUUUUUGUCCUUCAGUUGUUGUGUUGUUGUGUUCUGGCUUCUGUAUUUGUUGUGGCUUUUGCAAUCAUGCUAUAGCUGAAAGUCGUAGUGUUGUGGCUUCAAUGUGUUGUGCUGUGACGGUUGCAUUUGUUGCGACUUUUCUCGGCCACCGUAGCUGUUUAUUAAAAUGAGAGUAAAAGCGGGACAAAUCACUGCUCAUUUAGCCUGAAAAUAUUUGGUUGCACUUCAUUUCUUAGGUAAACCUACUGCUAAUUCAACCAGAAGCACUUUAUUGUUGAUAUUAACGUUGUAUUGUUUUAUGUUGGAAAAUCAACAGCAAAAGUAGCAUGUAAAUCUACUGUUAACAUCUUGGUUAAUGUACUUUUAUUGAAAAUGUGUUGAAUAUUGAAAAUAAGAGCCGAAAAGUGUUUCCCCUUGUUAAUUCAACGUAAGUGUUGGUUGCACUUAAUUUAAAUAAGAUGUGAAUGCCUUGGCCAUUAAUUGUUUACUUGCUUGUUUGUAUCCAUAAUUAAAUUAUACCUAAUUUCCGUACGCAAACUAACAGGAAUAUAGAAAACUUCACUUGCAGUGUCCAGCAUCCAGUACUUAUUUCACAGCACACUGCUUGAAUUUUCUUUGCUAAGAAGUAACUGAAUCGAUACACAGCUAAAUCACGAUCUAAACAGUUGUAGGAAAACAUCAGACCAUUCACACCACAACCACUUAAAUGAGGCAAAGUCAAAAAUAACCAAGCAGUCGGAGACCAGACUAUGUCAUGAAUAAUUACAUAAAAUAAAAUGCUAAUGUGACACAACAGUUUUAAAAACAACACUUAGGCUUGUUCACACUGCAGGUCAAUUCCAUAUGUGACCUGUCAGUGAGAACGGUACAAUUCCGACAUUUUCAAAUCCAACCAGAGCCUCUUAAAUAAUAUGUAUCCAAUGUGACGUCAUUGAAACAAUGUGACAUCAUUGAAAGGCGACAAACAUCAAAAUUCCCCGCCAAAAUAGACAGUCGUAAAAAGAAUCGGUGGACAAAGAAGCAGAAAACAGUCAAAAUGAAGAUGUUUUGGAACUCAGCUUAAAAUCCCAUCACUCCUGGUCCCGAGUCCUUGCCUAUAUGCUCAGAACAGAAAUCAUGUGGUUAAGUAAAUGUUGACACCGGUUGCACAAAAUCCUUGAAAUUUACACAUAUGUGCCAGAAUAUAGACCUACUCAAAUGUGGGCCAUAUUUACUUCAUAUUGAUCACAUUUUACUUAGUUUUGGAAAGGACUACAUAACCAUCGAAUUUGACAAAACAUCCCAAUUGUGCAGUGUGAACGUACUUGUUUACAUCAUACAGUCCUGUGGUAGCUUGGCAGUAUGGACACAAGACACAAGGAUUGGACAUGCAGUAUUAGAAGGUUGGGGAACUGGACCAGACAACUUUAUGGACACGCUGGUGGUUAAUCAGCAAAGCUACUGUACGUGCAUUUCCACAUCUAGUGUAAAUAGUCACAUCUACUUUUUUUGAGAGCAAGCCCAGAGUUUAAGAAGAUGCUUAAAACGAUCCCAUGAAGGGCAAUAAAUGCUAAGCUUGCUUCUCUGUUAUGAUACAUUUAUUUUAUUUUUUAGAAUAUGCCAAAGGUCAAUAAAAAAAGAAAAACUUUGGACACCCCUGACAUACACCACGGCGUGGCACAUUUGUGAUACUUUGAACCCAGCAGGCACAAGACAUUGAUACAAUGUUGAUUAUACAUACAUGAUCUUUAAAACUGACUUUAAAAAUACGUUGCAAAAUAGUUGUAUUUGUUGGAUCCAUGUUGUUGGUUGGGAAAUUACCAAAUUUCAAUGGUCAGAACCCAACAUUGAUUAAAUGUUGUCAAAAAGCAUGUUGUUCAAACUUUAUGUUUGAGUUGCUCAACGUUAGGACUUAAUUCAAUAAGUUCUCAACGUUGUUUUAAUGUCUUGUGAGUGCUGGGAAAGAGGCUUUGACCACGUUGAUAUCAACGUUUUUAUUUUUGUCCCUAUGGUCAAUUUUUAAACCAUCGACUCAUUGAUUUUCUGCCUGCAAAAGAAGCACAAUUACAAAAAAAUAUGGUAUUUGUUUUGGAACUGUUCAAAUUUGAUUUUAAGUGAGAUUGAAGAUGUAUAUUUGAGCAGCUGUGUCUUAGACAGGGCAGCAGGGUUCAACACAUCUCCCUCACAGCCCCAAGGUUCUGUUUUCGAAUCUUGGCUCUGCCUUCUCUGCGUGACUCGGUGUGCCCUGUGAUUGACAAGUCCAGGGUGUAACCCGCCUAUCACCCCUCUGGUGUAGGCUCCAGCUCACUCGUAACCCCAAACAGGUUACACAGUCGAAAAUUAAUGUUUAGUAGUUCUGUCAAAAAAAUCUGAUUAAUCAUGUUUUAGAAUUUUGAUUAUUUAUGAUUAAUCACAGUUGACAUACCUUCAAGAUAAAUUGCGUGAAUAAUCAACAUUUUUACAUGAAUAAUACGAUUUUGUGAUUAGUUAUGUUGUUUGUCAGCCCUAAAUUUAAAAAAAUUGAUAUACAGUGCAUUCGAAAAGUAUUCACUUUUCCAACAUUUUGUUAUUUUACAGCCUUAUUCCAACAUGGAAAAAAUACAUUUUUGUCGUCAACAUUCUACAGACAAUACCCCAUAAUGACAAUGUAAUUGUUUUAUUUCUUUUGCAAAUGUAUUAAGAAUAAAAAAAUUCACAUUUACAAAAGGAUUCCCAGCCUUUGCUCAAUACUUUGAUGAUGCACCUUUGGCAGAAAUUACGGCCUCAAGUCUUUUUGAAUACGAUGGCACAAGCUUGGCACACCUACUGUAUCUUUGGGCAGUUUCGCCCAUUCCUCUUUGCAGGUUGGAUGAGAAGUUUUCAUCAAGAAUGCCCUCUGUACAUUGCUGCAUUCACCUUGCUUUCCCUCUAAAAAAAAAAUAUAUAUAUAUAUAUAUAUUUUUCAAAUUGUCAUUAGAGGGUAUUGUGUGUAGAAUUUUGAGGGCAAAAAUAAAUGCAUUACAUUUUGGAAUAAGAAAAAUGUGGAAAAAGUGAAGCACUUGACAAGCACAAUAUUUACUCUCUUUACCAAAGGUCAAUUGCAACCACUUAAGUUAGUCCCUUCAUUUCUUCUCAAGGUUGGCGGUUCGGUGGGAGAGUGAACUGAUUUUUUGUAUUUUUAGUUGAAAGUUAAAAUGUCAGAAAUUUACAGAAAAUUAUUUAAACAGGAGGGCGCCAGUUAAAGGAGGGGAAAGAAAACAAGAUGGCGGCACGCUCCAUAGUGAGUAAUAUAACAAGCGUGAAGAACAUACCAACUCCACAAAGAGAUGUUGAGCCAGACUCGAACCCAGAACCGAGUAAAGACCCGCACUUCUUUUGUUCUAUUUGGAAUUUUCUUUUCCACAACAAUGUUGAUGUCCCAAAGUGAACAUCCAAAAAAGGAAGGGACCAAGAACUAUCAGGAGUGUUGUGAUGUCAUCGGUUCCCUGCAGCCGUGCAUGAGAGGCAGCAGCUUGACUUCAUUAGAAUGUGAUGAUGCAGAUUACCUUUAUGUUCUCUGCGGAGUACUCCUUAUCUCCUGGUUGCCUUGGUUACUGCACGUUGUAUGGCUGGCAUCUCAAAGGCGAAUAAAUCGGGUGUGCCCAUGAAACCAUACGGUUCAACAAAAAGCCACUUUGCGGCCCAGCAAUGUAAACCAUUCCUGAAGAUGACGUCUACAUGAUGCACGCUGCUCAUAACAAUAUUUGUGACACAAAGACUGUCUGCCAUUCACCAAUUUGCUCCACCCCCCCCCAUUGUGGUAAAACUCUCAGUCAUCUGACUGCAUUUUAAAGAGUGGAUGAUUUCCAUUGAGAAAUGCUUGAGCAAGCACAACUACUACAUUCUGUUUUCUCUCAUAUUAGAGGGCGGGAUUUAACAUUAGAUUUAACAUGAGGAAACUGAGAAGGUUGAUGUGACAUGACAGUUGUGUGUGUGUGUGUGUGUGUGUGUGUGUGUGUGUGUGUGUGUGUGUGCUGCAAAGAAGGCCUUGUGGUCGGUCCUUCCCCUUGUUUUGAGUGCAAUAUUCUCUUGAACCGCAUACAAGUGAACAUAAAGAAGAUGGUUAUUGUUUGAAAGGGGAAGUGUGGUGAAGACCAAUAAAACAUUUACUGAACAAAAGGCUCUUCUUUUUUUCACAGUGGCACCCGUUUAUGUUGACACACCCUUCGACCUAGCGGUUGUCGACUUAACCGAAAUCGAAAGUUUUUCCAACUUGGGCGGGGGUCGGCAACCGGUGGCUCUUUAGCACCGCCCUAGUGGCUCCCUGGAGCUUUUUAAAAAAUUUAUGAAAAUGUAAAAAGAUUAAAGAAAAAAUAUAUUUUUUGUUUCAUUAUGGUUUCUGUAGAAGGACAAACAUGACACAAACCUCCCUAAUUGUUAGAAAUCCCACUGUUUAUAUUGAACAUGCUUCACUGAUGAGAGUAAUUGGCGAGUGCCGUUUUGUCCUACUAAUUUCGGCAGUCCUUGAACUCACCGUAGUUUGUUUACAUGCACAACGCUGCCACAGAAAGACGCGUUUUAUGCCACUCCUUCUUUGUCUCAUUUUGUCCACCAAACAUGUUGUGGACAUGCACAAAGGUGAACAAGACUCAGAGGUACUUCAACUUCUUUACUUGAGGCAAGAUCUCCUCCUUGACUCGGAGAUGGCACUCAAACCCUUUUCCAGGCGAGAACCAUGGACUUAGACUUGGAGGCGCUGAUUAUCAUCCCAGUCGCUUCACACUUGGCUGUGAACCGAUCCAGUGAGAGCUGAAGAUCCUGGCCAGAUGAAGCCAUCAGGACCACAUCAUCUGCAAAAAGCAGAGACCUAAUCCUGCAGCCACCAAACCAGAUCCCCUCAACGCCCUGAGGUGUUGCCAAGAAAUUCUGUCCAUAAAAGUUGUAAACAGAAUCUGUGACAAAGGGCAGCCCUGGGGGAGUCCAACCCUCACUGGAAAUGGAUCCGAAUUACUACCGGCAAUGCGGACCAAGCUCUGACACUGAUCGUACAGGGAGCGGACCGCCACAAUCUGAUACCCCAUACUCUCUGAGCACUCCCCACAGGACUUUCCGAGGGACACGGUCGAAUGCCUUCUCCAAGUCCACAAAGCACAUGUAGACUGGAUGGGCAAACUCCCAUGCACCCUCAAGGACCCUGCCGAGAGUAUAGAGCUGGUCCACAGUUCCACGACCAGGAUAAAAACCACACUGCAACGUUGCAGAGUCUUGUGUUACGCCGUGGUCGCAUGGUUAUGCGCUGGUCGUUUUUCCAAGAUGCAGAUGGACGUCAGGAAGCGGCGUGCAGGUAGGAAUAAUUAUUUAUCCCCAUAACAAGGCAAGAAUAACAAAAUAGGAAUGUGCCGACAGCACGGGGAAAAGCUUAGCACAGAAACAGAACAGAACAAGAAGCAAGAAUCACCAACGUAACGUGUUGUGUGAAGCAAACAAAGCAGCCCGGCACAGUGUGGCGAGAGGCAGGAAUAAAUAGCUCUAUGAUAAGUGACCAGGAGCAGGUGAGCGUCCCGACCAUUAAUCAGAGGCAGGUGACGAUAAUCAGCACCCAUGGAAACAAUGAAAACAAACCCCGUUGCAGACACAGAACUAAAUCAACAACUAAGGAAAUACUAAACUAAACAUAACAUGAUCCAGGCAACGGAUCAUCACAUCUUGUCAACAAAGACAGCAUUCAGAGUCUCAAGGAUCUCCGGGCGGAUCUCAGCCACCCCCGGGGCCCUGCCACCGAGCAGCUUUUUAACUACCUCGGCAACCUCAGCCCCAGAAAUAGGAGAGCCCACCACAGAUCCCUCAGGCACUGCUUCC